rnacentral:miRNA from 1 species
CAACACACUUAUUCAUGGACUCUGCAAGGAAGGAAAAUUACUUGAAGCAAAUAAGAUUUUCAAUGAGAUGAAAGGAUCAGAUGUCACUCCUACCACUGUUACUUACAACACUUUGAUAAAUGGG